rnacentral:misc_RNA from 1 species
AGGUAAAAAUGCCAAG